AGUGGAUAGCUGGGUCAAAUGGUGAUUCCAUUCCCAGUUUUCUGAGGAAUCUCCAUACUGCUUUCCAUAGUGGUUGCAUCAAUUUGCAGUCCCACCAGCAAC
rnacentral:pre_miRNA from 1 species